GAGAGUCGAGCGGUAGAGAGAAGCUUGCUUCUCUUGAGAGCGGCGGACGGGUGAGUAAUGCCUAGGAAUCUGCCUGGUAGUGGGGGAUAACGUUCGGAAACGGACGCUAAUACCGCAUACGUCCUACGGGAGAAAGCAGGGGACCUUCGGGCCUUGCGCUAUCAGAUGAGCCUAGGUCGGAUUAGCUAGUUGGUGGGGUAAUGGCUCACCAAGGCGACGAUCCGUAACUGGUCUGAGAGGAUGAUCAGUCACACUGGAACUGAGACACGGUCCAGACUCCUACGGGAGGCAGCAGUGGGGAAUAUUGGACAAUGGGCGAAAGCCUGAUCCAGCCAUGCCGCGUGUGUGAAGAAGGUCUUCGGAUUGUAAAGCACUUUAAGUUGGGAGGAAGGGUUGUAGAUUAAUACUCUGCAAUUUUGACGUUACCGACAGAAUAAGCACCGGCUAACUUUUUUGCCAGCAGCCGGGGUAAUACAGAGGGUGCAAGCGUUAAUCGGAAUUAC
rnacentral:rRNA from 1 species